rnacentral:rRNA from 1 species
UAGGGAAUCUUCGGCAAUGGGGGGAACCCUGACCGAGCAACGCCGCGUGAGUGAAGAAGGUUUUCGGAUCGUAAAGCUCUGUUGUUAAGGAAGAACGAGUGUGAGAAUGGAAAGUUCAUGCUGUGACGGUACUUAACCAGAAAGGGACGGCUAACUACGUGCCAGCAGCCGCGGUAAUACGUAGGUCCCGAGCGUUGUCCGGAUUUAUUGGGCGUAAAGCGAGCGCAGGCGGUUAGAAAAGUCUGAAGUGAAAGGCAGUGGCUCAACCAUUGUAGGCUUUGGAAACUGUUUAACUUGAGUGCAGAAGGGGAGAGUGGAAUUCCAUGUGUAGCGGUGAAACGCAUAGAUAUAUGGAGGAACACCGGUGGCGAAAGCGGCUCUCUGGUCUGUAACUGACGCAGAGGCUCGAAAGCGUGGGGAGCGAACAGG